GAGUUUGAUUAUGGCUCAGGAUGAACGCUGGCGGCGUGGAUAAGGCAUGCAAGUCGAGAGGGUUAGACCCUCGGCAAACGGGUUAGUAAUACAUAGGAACGUACCCUGAAGUCGUGAAUAACCCGGAGAAAUCCGGGAUAAUACACGAUAAUCUCUACGGAGUAAAGAUUUAUCGCUUCAGGAGCGGCCUAUGUCCUAUCAGCUAGUUGGUAGUGUAAUGGACUACCAAGGCUAUGACGGGUAGGGGGCGUGAGAGCGUGACCCCCAACAUUGGAACUGAGACACUGUCCAAACACCUACGGGUGGCUGCAGUCGAGAAUAUUCCACAAUGGGCGAAAGCCUGAUGGAGCGACGCCGCGUGCGGGAAGAAGGCCUUAGGGUCGUAAACCGCUUUUCUAGGGAAAGAAACCGUGCAUAGCACAGGAAUUUUGAGUAUUUUAAAUUCGAAAUUUCUGUGUUGUGUACGGUCUGACGGUACCUUAGGAAUAAGAGGUUGCUAACUCUGUGCCAGCAGCAGCGGUAAUACAGAGACCUCAAGCGUUAUCCGGAUUUAUUGGGCGUAAAGA
rnacentral:rRNA from 1 species